GGAGACUUAGCUUAGUUAUCAAAAAUGUUUGCCUAGUAUGUAUAAGGUCCUGGGUUUGAUUCCCAGAGCUGCCA
rnacentral:tRNA from 1 species